AAUGUCAGUGCUUGUGCACAGAGAAGUCCAGCAGUCUGCUGUGUGCCCCUGAGGAGGAACAAGCAGAGCAGGGCUCUCCUGGGGCUGGGGAGGGACAGGGCUGAAGCACCAGAGCCCUGAGCUCUCUGCUGAGCCACGGAUAGUCUGUGCUAUGGAAAGGCUGCAGUGUGCUUGGACACUGAAAUGUAACCACAACUGGAGUGUCCGGGGGUGCAGAAAAUAGCCUGUCACCCAUAUCUGAAGUGAAAGGGCUGCACGCUGAAGUGUUCCCUGGGAUGAAAUAAUAUGUGAUUCCAGUGUUGAUGCCUUUGACUGCAUGGCACAUCAGGAGAAGAAGAUUCACUGAGAAACAUCACCUUUAUUUUGGGAGUGCUUUUUUUCCCUGUCCCAUGUGAACAAUUUGAUCUUCCUGACCCAUUUGCAGCAGCAUGUAAUAGCCAAGCAUGUAUCUUCAGCUGUCACACAGGGUUUGAUGCCUUGAGAUCCUGGCUAUAGGUCACAGCUCAGAGCAUCGACAAUAUCCAGUAAUGAGGCAGAGUCAUGUCA